rnacentral:rRNA from 1 species
UACGUAGGGCGCAAGCGUUGUCCGGAAUUAUUGGGCGUAAAGAGCUCGUAGGCGGCUUGUCACGUCGGGUGUGAAAGCCCGGGGCUUAACCCCGGGUCUGCAUUCGAUACGGGCUAGCUAGAGUGUGGUAGGGGAGAUCGGAAUUCCUGGUGUAGCGGUGAAAUGCGCAGAUAUCAGGAGGAACACCGGUGGCGAAGGCGGCUCUCUGGACCACAACUGACGCUGAGGCGCGAAAGCUAGGGGAGCAAACAGG